rnacentral:rRNA from 1 species
GAUAAACGCUGGCGGCGUGCAUGAGACAUGCAAGUCAUACGGGCGAGCUUGCUCGCUAGUGGCGGACGGCUGAGUAACGCGUAGGUGACCUACCCCGAAGUGGGGAAUAGCUGCCCGAAAGGGUGGCUAAUACCGCAUGUGAUGGAACGUUCAUUCAUUCCAUUAAAGCAGUAAUGCGCGUCGGGAGGGGCCUGCGUCCGAUUAGCUCGUUGGUGGGGUAACGGCUCACCAAGGCGACGAUCGGUAGGUGGUCUGAGAGGACGAUCACCCAGACUGGGACUGAGACACGGCCCAGACUCCUACGGGAGGCAGCAGUCGGGAAUUGUUCGCAAUGGGCGAAAGCCUGACGACGCAACGCCGCGUGGAGGAUGAAGAAUUUCGGUUCGUAAACUCCUUUCGACCGAGAUGAACACCCGCCGAUUUAAUACAUUGGCGGACUGACAGUAUCGAGAGAAGAAGCCCCGGCUAACUCUGUGCCAGCAGCCGCGGUAAUACAGGGGGGGCAAGCGUUGUUCGGAAUUACUGGGCGUAAAGGGUUCGUAGGUGGCCAACUAAGUCAGAUGUGAAAUCCCUCAGCUUAACUGGGGAACUGCUUCUGAAACUGAUUGGCUUGAGUGCAGGAGAGGAAUGCGGAAUUCCAGGUGUAGCGGUGAAAUGCGUAGAUAUCUGGAGGAACACCGGUGGCGAAGGCGGCAUUCUGGACUGUAACUGACACUGAGGAACGAAAGCCAGGGGAGCAAACGGGAUUAGAUACCCCGGUAGUCCUGGCCCUAAACGAUGAAUGCUUGGUGUGGCGGG